UGUCAAUCUGUUAGUCAUUUAUUUCAAUUGCAUCCAAUUGAUAUUUUUAACUUGAUGGAUGGGACAUUGCCUCAUCAAGAUCCUUGAGCAGUUCCCAGGUCUCACGGGACUGUUUCCUCUCUUGUGGUAGAGGGUUCAUUCCAUCUUUUGCGCUUAUAAUGAGAUGAUCACACAUAAACUCUUAAAACUGACCAUUAUACCAAUGCAUCCUGUGGGAACCGGAAAGUGAGAGAGGUGUACACGCCAAUCGGUAGAUAAAAAUAAAAGAAAGGGACAGAUUGAGAUCAAGAGAUCAAAGAGGAGAUUGAACAUUGAUGGAGAUAGAGAGAACGUACUAGAAAAGCCAAUGUUAUCACUGGCGUAUCGUAUCGCGUAUCGGUCGGGCCGACCUAUACGCCGUAUCGUAACGUAUCGUAAAUGUAUCGUAACGUAUCGUAAAAUUAAUUUUUAAUUUGUAAAAAAUAUUAAAAAAUUAUAAAAAAAUAGAAAAAAAUCAAAAAAAAUUUAAAUAAAUUCGAAAAAACAAGAAAAAAUCAAGAAAAAUGUAUUUAAAGGAACAUUCAUCAUUCAUGUAUAUGAAGUAUGAACUAUGAAGUAUGAAUAUGAACAACACAUUCCAAAAUAAGAAAUCAGACAUUCAAAAAUCAAAUAACAUACUAAGCAGCCGAAGAGUAUUCGAUUACAUCACAAUUCAUAAGUUCAGAAGUCAAAACAUACAGACAUAGUUAUCAUCUUUCAUGAUCCAAAAAGCCCUCUUUCUCCAAGCUUUCCACUGUGCCCUCUACGAGAAAGAAAGCUAUCUCACGGGCAAAACUUAAAGCAAAUGAGGAAAAUCUCUUCCUCCCACGUCUCUUGCAAUGUUUAGAAACAAGAAGAGAGAGAGAGAGGAGCAUAUCUUUUGAAAUAAAAUGAAAAAAAGGGGCCAUCGGACCCUUUUGCCAUUUUUCCCCCGUAUCGUACGAUACGGGGGUGUAUCGACCGUAUCGUACGAUACAGUGCCCGUAUCGUGCGAUACGGGCGAUACGUCUACGAUACACCUCCGUAUCGUGUAUUGUAGGCGUGUCGUAUCGUUUUUGUUGAUACAGACGAUACGUAUCGUACGAUACGCGUCCGUAUCGUACGAUACGGAUAACAUUGAGAAAAGCAAGGAGAGAGAGAGAUCAGGAAAACUCCUGCGAAGUAGGGAGCGAUAGACAACAAAAUGGCGAGAGAUUAGAUGAAAAUAGGAAAUUAGAUUUCUUAUAGAAAAAAUUGCUCAACUUAACAUGCGCUUGUGGUCAUGCAGAUAUUAGGAACGACACCCCAAUCCAUCAACCAGGAAACGUCGUUGUGCCAUGAAAUGUUGCCACUGGCGUGGAUGAGGUUUGAGGAGGUUGGUCUCUUCUCAAAACCAUCUCAAAAACUUGUCUCUCUCUAUCUCUCCUGUCUCCUCCAACAAUCUCGUGCGUAAGCCGUCAUUGUACCAAUGCAUCAGGUUGGCCAUGCAAUGGUUGUGUCUAUCAGUAUGCCAUUUAUUAGAAUUGCAUCUAAUUGACAAUUUCAACUUGAUGGAGGGGACGUUGCUUCAUCAAGAUCCUUGAGCAAUUCCCAGGUCUCAUGGGACUGCUUAACCCCUUGUUGGACGAGUUUCAUCAUAUCUUUUGUGCUCAUAAUGAGACGAUCACACAUAACAUACUAAAACUGCAAUUGCAUCGAUGCAUCAAGUUGGCCAUGCAAUGGUUGUGUCAAUCUGUUAGUCAUUUAUUUCAAUUGCAUCAAAUUGAUAUUUUUAACUUGAUGGAUGGGACAUUGCCUCAUCAAGAUCCUUGAGCAGUUCCCAGGUCUCACAGGACUGUUUCCUCUCUUGUGGUAGAGGGUUCAUUGCAUCUUUCGCGCUUAUAAUGAGAUGAUCACACAUAAACUCUUAAAACUGACCAUUAUACCAAUGCAUCCAGUGGGAACCGGAAAGUGAGAGAGGUGUACACGCCAAUCGGUAGAUAAAAAUAAAGAAAGGGACAGAUUGAGAUGAAGAGAUCAAAGAGGAGAUUGAACAUUGAUGGAGAUAGAGAGAACGUACUAGAAAAGCAGGGAGAGAGAGAGAUCAGGAAAACUCCUGCGAAGUAGGGAGCAAUAGAUAACAAAAUGGGGAGAGAUUAGAUGAAAAUAGGAAAUUAGAUUUCUUAUAGAAAAAAUUGCUCAACAUAACAUGCGCUUGUGGUCAUGCAGAUAUUAGGAACGAUACCCCAAUCCAUCAACCAGGAAACGUCGUUGUGCGAUGAAAUGUUGCCACUGGCGGUGAUGAGGUUUGAGGAGGUUGGCCCAGCAGAGGUUUGAGGAGGUCGGCCUCUUCUCAAAACCAUCUCAAAAACUUGUCCCUCUCUAUCUUUCCUGUCUCCAACAAAAAUCUCGUGCGUAAGCCGUCAUUGUACCAAUGCAUCAAGUUGGCCAUGCAAUGGUUGUGUCUAUCAGUAUGUCAUUUAUUAGAAUUGCAUCUAAUUGACAAUUUCAACUUGAUGGAGGGGACGUUGCUUCAUCAAGAUCCUUGAGCAAUUCCCAGGUCUCAUGGGACUGCUUAACCCCUUGUUGGACGAGUUUCAUCAUAUCUUUUGUGCUCAUAAUGAGACGAUCACACAUAACAUACUAAAACUGCAAUUGCAUCGAUGCAUCAAGUUGGCCAUGCAAUGGUUGUGUCAAUCUGUUAGUCAUUUAUUUCAAUUGCAUCCAAUUGAUAUUUUUAACUUGAUGGAUGGGACAUUGCCUCAUCAAGAUCCUUGAGCAGUUCCCAAGUCUCACGGGACUGUUUCCUCUCUUGUGGUAGAGGGUUCAUUGGGGACGUUGCUUCAUCAAGAUCCUUGAGCAAUUCCCAGGUCUCAUGGGACUGCUUAACCCCUUGUUGGACGAGUUUCAUCAUAUCUUUUGUGCUCAUAAUGAGACGAUCACACAUAACAUACUAAAACUGCAAUUGCAUCGAUGCAUCAAGUUGGCCAUGCAAUGGUUGUGUCAAUCUGUUAGUCAUUUAUUUCAAUUGCAUCCAAUUGAUAAUUUUAGCUUGAUGGAUGGGACAUUGUUUCAUCAAGAUCCUUGAGCAGUUCCCAGGUCUCACGGGACUGUUUCCUCUCUUGUGGUAGAGGGUUCAUUGCAUCUUUUGCGCUUAUAAUGAGAUGAUCACACAUAAACUCUUAAAACUGACCAUUAUACCAAUGCAUCCUGUGGGAACCGGAAAGUGAGAGAGGUGUACACGCCAAUCGGUAGAUAAAAAUAAAAGAAAGGGACAGAUUGAGAUCAAGAGAUCAAGGAGGAGAUUGAACAUUGAUGGAGAUAGAGAGAACGUACUAGAAAAGCAGGGAGAGAGAGAGAUCAGGAAAACUCCUGCGAAGUAGGGAGCGAUAGACAACAAAAUGGCGAGAGAUUAGAUGAAAAUAGGAAAUUAGAUUUCUUAUAGAAAAAAUUGCUCAACUUAACAUGCGCUUGUGGUCUUGCAGAUAUUAGGAACGAUUCCCCAAACCAUGAACCAGGAAACGUCGUUGUGCGAUGAAAUGUUGCCACUGGCGGUGAUGAGGUUUGAGGAGGUUGGUCUCUUCUCAAAACCAUCUCAAAAACUUGUCUCUCUCUAUCUCUCCUGUCUCCUCCAACAAUCUCGUGCGUAAGCCGUCAUUGUACCAAUGCAUCAGGUUGGCCAUGCAAUGGUUGUGUCUAUCAGUAUGCCAUUUAUUAGAAUUGCAUCUAAUUGACAAUUUCAACUUGAUGGAGGGGACGUCAAGAUCCUUGAGCAAUUCCCAGGUCUUAUGGGACUGCUUAACCCCUUGUUGGACGAGUUUCAUCAUAUCUUUUGUGCUCAUAAUGAGACGAUCACACAUAACAUACUAAAACUGCAAUUGCAUCGAUGCAUCAAGUUGGCCAUGCAAUGGUUGUGUCAAUCUGUUAGUCAUUUAUUUCAAUUGCAUCCAAUUGAUAUUUUUAACUUGAUGGAUGGGACAUUGCCUCAUCAAGAUCCUUGAGCAGUUCCCAGGUCUCACGGGACUGUUUCCUCUCUUGUGGUAGAGGGUUCAUUGCAUCUUUCGCGCUUAUAAUGAGAUGAUCACACAUAAACUCUUAAAACUGACCAUUAUACCAAUGCAUCCAGUGGGAACCGGAAAGUGAGAGAGGUGUACACGCCAAUCGGUAGAUAAAAAUAAAGAAAGCGGCAGAUUGAGAUCAAGAGAGCAAAGAGGAGAUUGAACAUUGAUGGAGAUAGAGAGAACGUACUAGAAAAGCAGGGAGAGAGAGAGAUCAGGAAAACUCCUGCGAAGUAGGGAGCGAUAGAUAACAAAAUGGCGAGAGAUUAGGUGAAAAUAGGAAAUUAGAUUUCUUAUAGAAAAAAUUGCUCAACUUAACAUGCGCUUGUGGUCAUGCAGAUAUUAGGAACGAUUCCCCAAACCAUGAACCAGGAAACGUCGUUGUGCGAUGAAAUGUUGCCACUGGCGGUGAUGAGGUUUGAGGAGGUUGGCCCAGCAGAGGUUUGAGGAGGUUGGCCUCUUCUCAAAACCAUCUCAAAAACUUGUCUCUCUCUAUCUCUCCUGUCUCCUCCAAAAAUCUCGUGUGUAAGCCGUCAUUGUACCAAUGCAUCAAGUUGGCCAUGCAAUGGUUGUGUCUAUCAGUAUGUCAUUUAUUAGAAUUACAUCUAAUUGACAAUUUCAACUUGAUGGAGGGGACGUUGCUUCAUCAACUUCUUUGAGCAAUUCCCAGGUCUCAUGGGACUGCUUAACCCCUUGUUGGACGAGUUUCAUCAUAUCUUUUGUGCUCAUAAUGAGACGAUCACACAUAACAUACUAAAACUGCAAUUGCAUCGAUGCAUCAAGUUGGCCAUGCAAUGGUUGUGUCAAUCUGUUAGUCAUUUAUUUCAAUUGCAUCCAAUUGAUAAUUUUAGCUUGAUGGAUGGGACAUUGUUUCAUCAAGAUCCUUGAGCAGUUCCCAGGUCUCACGGGACUGUUUCCUCUCUUGUGGUAGAGGGUUCAUUGCAUCUUUUGCGCUUAUAAUGAGAUGAUCACACAUAAACUCUUAAAACUGACCAUUAUACCAAUGCAUCCUGUGGGAACCGGAAAGUGAGAGAGGUGUACACGCCAAUCGGUAGAUAAAAAUAAAAGAAAGGGACAGAUUGAGAUCAAGAGAUCAAGGAGGAGAUUGAACAUUGAUGGAGAUAGAGAGAACGUACUAGAAAAGCAGGGAGAGAGAGAGAUCAGGAAAACUCCUGCGAAGUAGGGAGCGAUAGACAACAAAAUGGCGAGAGAUUAGAUGAAAAUAGGAAAUUAGAUUUCUUAUAGAAAAAAUUGCUCAACUUAACAUGCGCUUGUGGUCUUGCAGAUAUUAGGAACGAUUCCCCAAACCAUGAACCAGGAAACGUCGUUGUGCGAUGAAAUGUUGCCACUGGCGGUGAUGAGGUUUGAGGAGGUUGGUCUCUUCUCAAAACCAUCUCAAAAACUUGUCUCUCUCUAUCUCUCCUGUCUCCUCCAACAAUCUCGUGCGUAAGCCGUCAUUGUACCAAUGCAUCAGGUUGGCCAUGCAAUGGUUGUGUCUAUCAGUAUGCCAUUUAUUAGAAUUGCAUCUAAUUGACAAUUUCAACUUGAUGGAGGGGACGUCAAGAUCCUUGAGCAAUUCCCAGGUCUUAUGGGACUGCUUAACCCCUUGUUGGACGAGUUUCAUCAUAUCUUUUGUGCUCAUAAUGAGACGAUCACACAUAACAUACUAAAACUGCAAUUGCAUCGAUGCAUCAAGUUGGCCAUGCAAUGGUUGUGUCAAUCUGUUAGUCAUUUAUUUCAAUUGCAUCCAAUUGAUAUUUUUAACUUGAUGGAUGGGACAUUGCCUCAUCAAGAUCCUUGAGCAGUUCCCAGGUCUCACGGGACUGUUUCCUCUCUUGUGGUAGAGGGUUCAUUGCAUCUUUCGCGCUUAUAAUGAGAUGAUCACACAUAAACUCUUAAAACUGACCAUUAUACCAAUGCAUCCAGUGGGAACCGGAAAGUGAGAGAGGUGUACACGCCAAUCGGUAGAUAAAAAUAAAGAAAGCGGCAGAUUGAGAUCAAGAGAGCAAAGAGGAGAUUGAACAUUGAUGGAGAUAGAGAGAACGUACUAGAAAAGCAGGGAGAGAGAGAGAUCAGGAAAACUCCUGCGAAGUAGGGAGCGAUAGAUAACAAAAUGGCGAGAGAUUAGGUGAAAAUAGGAAAUUAGAUUUCUUAUAGAAAAAAUUGCUCAACUUAACAUGCGCUUGUGGUCAUGCAGAUAUUAGGAACGAUUCCCCAAACCAUGAACCAGGAAACGUCGUUGUGCGAUGAAAUGUUGCCACUGGCGGUGAUGAGGUUUGAGGAGGUUGGCCCAGCAGAGGUUUGAGGAGGUUGGCCUCUUCUCAAAACCAUCUCAAAAACUUGUCUCUCUCUAUCUCUCCUGUCUCCUCCAAAAAUCUCGUGUGUAAGCCGUCAUUGUACCAAUGCAUCAAGUUGGCCAUGCAAUGGUUGUGUCUAUCAGUAUGUCAUUUAUUAGAAUUACAUCUAAUUGACAAUUUCAACUUGAUGGAGGGGACGUUGCUUCAUCAACUUCUUUGAGCAAUUCCCAGGUCUCAUGGGACUGCUUAACCCCUUGUUGGACGAGUUUCAUCAUAUCUUUUGUGCUCAUAAUGAGACGAUCACACAUAACAUACUAAAACUGCAAUUGCAUCGAUGCAUCAAGUUGGCCAUGCAAUGGUUGCCUCAAUCUGUUAGUCAUUUAUUUCAAUUGCAUCCAAUUGAUAUUUUUAACUUGAUGGAUGGGACAUUGCUUCAUCAAGAUCCUUGAGCAGUUCCCAGGUCUCACGGGACUGUUUCCUCUCUUGUGGUAGAGGGUUCAUUGCAUCUUUUGCGCUUAUAAUGAGAUGAUCACACAUAAACUCUUAAAACUGACCAUUAUACCAAUGCAUCCAGUGGGAACCGGAAAGUGAGAGAGGUGUACACGCCAAUCGGUAGAUAAAAAUAAAGAAAGGGACAGAUUGAGAUGAAGAGAUCAAAGAGGAGAUUGAACAUUGAUGGAGAUAGAGAGAACGUACUAGAAAAGCAGGGAGAGAGAGAGAUCAGGAAAACUCCUGCGAAGUAGGGAGCCAUAGAUAACAAAAUGGGGAGAGAUUAGAUGAAAAUAGGAAAUUAGAUUUCUUAUAGAAAAAAUUGCCCAACAUAACAUGCGCUUGUGGUCAUGCAGAUAUUAGGAACGAUUCCCCAAACCAUGAACCAGGAAACGUCGUUGUGCGAUGAAAUGUUGCCACUGGCGGUGAUGAGGUUUGAGGAGGUUGGCCCAGCAGAGGUUUGAGGAGGUUGGCCUCUUCUCAAAACCAUCUCAAAAACUUGUCUCUCUCUAUCUCUCCUGUCUCCUCCAAAAAUCUCGUGGGUAAGCCGUCAUUGUACCAAUGCAUCAAGUUGGCCAUGCAGUGGUUGUGUCUAUCAGUAUGUCAUUUAUUAGAAUUGCAUCUAAUUGACAAUUUCAACUUGAUGGAGGGGACGUUGCUUCAUCAAGAUCCUUGAGCAAUUCCCAGGUCUCAUGGGACUGCUUAACCCCUCUUUUGUGCUCAUAAUGAGACGAUCACACAUAACAUACUAAAACUGCAAUUGCAUCGAUGCAUCAAGUUGGCCAUGCAAUGGUUGUGUCAAUCUGUUAGUCAUUUAUUUCAAUUGCAUCCAAUUGACAUUUUUAACUUCAUGGAAUUGACGUUGCUUCAUCAAGAUCCUUGAGCAAUUCCCAGGUCUAAUGGGACUGUUCAACGCCCUGUUGGAUGAGGUUCAUCGUGACUUUUGCGCUCAUAAUGACACGAUCACACAUAACAUCAUAAAACUGACAAUUACACUGAUGCAUCAAGUUGGCCAUGCAUUGGUUGAAUCAAUCUGUUUGUCAUUUAUUUCAAUUGCAUCCAAUUGACAUUUUGAACUUUAUAGACAGGACGUUGAUUCAUCAAGAUCUUGGAGCAAUUCUCAGGUCUCACGAGACUGCUUUUCAUCUUGUUGUACAAGGUUGAUCAUAUCGUUUGCGCUCAUAAUGAAACAGCGAUAUGUCAUUUACAUCUCAUCCCUUGAGCGGAGAUGUGACCGCUCCUUAAAUAUAUGUGUCGCUCUUUAUUGCGAAGAUGAUGAGGCGAGAUGCGUCAAUAAUAAUGUCAAACAAAGUCUUAUGUUUGUUCAU